rnacentral:rRNA from 1 species
UACGAAGGGGGCUAGCGUUGCUCGGAAUCACUGGGCGUAAAGCGCACGUAGGCGGAUUGUUAAGUCAGGGGUGAAAUCCUGGAGCUCAACUCCAGAACUGCCUUUGAUACUGAAAGUCUUGAGUAUGGGAGAGGUGAGUGGAACUGCGAGUGUAGAGGUGAAAUUCGUAGAUAUUCGCAAGAACACCAGUGGCGAAGGCGGCUCACUGGCCCAUUACUGACGCUGAGGUGCGAAAGCGUGGGGAGCAAACAGG